GAUGAACGCUGGCGGCGUGCCUAAUACAUGCAAGUCGAGCGAACGGACGAGCAGCUUGCUUCUCUGAUGUUAGCGGCGGACGGGUGAGUAACACGUGGAUAACCUACCUUUAAGACUGGGAUAACUUCGGGAAACCGGAGCUAAUACCGGAUGAUAUUUUGAACCGCAUGGUUCAAAAGUGAAAGACGGUCUUGCUGUCACUUAUAGAUGGAUCCGCGCUGCAUUAGCUAGUUGGUAAGGUAAUGGCUUACCAAGGCAACGAUGCAUAGCCGACCUGAGAGGGUGAUCAGCCACCCUAGAACUGCGAAACCGUCCCGACUCCUACGGGAGGCAGCAGUCGGGGAUCUUCCACAAUGGGCGAAAGCCUGACGGAGCAAUACCGCGUGAGUAGUGAAGGUCUUCGGAUCGUUAAACUCUGUUAUUAGGGAAGAACAUCUGUGUAAGUAACUGUGCACAUCUUGACGGUACCUAAUCAGAAAGCCACGGCUAACUACGUG
rnacentral:rRNA from 1 species